AGUAUGACUAAGUACUGUACUGUAGCUAUAAGUUAAGUCAUAUGUGUGUGUCUAUGGUUCCUUACUUUCUUUUUGUGGACAGGUAGUGGUUCACUCUUAUUUUUCUCCUGCUUCCAUUUCAGAUCCCACCAGUUGUCCUCUGAUCCUCCGCUGCUUGCACACCUGCCUCUACCACCUGUGCAGUUGUAGUAAUGUCCCCAGCAUUUAAAAAAAAGCUUUGCAAGGAAAACCACGUGAGGAACUGAUUACUUACAUUGCAGGUGUACAAGGAAACAAUCUCAAGUAUGGAGGAAUCCACCCUGCCGGACUGCUGCUCUGACUCAUGAACACGUGUGUGAAUGUG